rnacentral:misc_RNA from 1 species
GUUGCUGCAGUGUUCACUCAGAUUUGGUAUAGUAUUCACCAGGUAAAGUAAACAUUAGGACAUUGCCUAGAUUUUUGGUUUUUAUUUUUUAUUUUUUGUGUCAAGGAUUAAGUAGGUAAGUAUUUCUUGAAAGGUAUAUGGUGGCUUUUUUUUCAAUUGUUUUUUGUGGUUAGCUUUAGUGCAAGUCUGCAAGAGUGCUAUAUAUUUCAGCUAUUUACACGAGCUGGUCAGUAAGUAUUGAUGCUUAUGAUAAUCUUAAUUAAGUUUUGGUGUUGCCAUCAGCUAGCUUGUUCCUUGGUAGGCUAUUUAUUGCCUAUGUCAAGGCUUAUGUGGAUAACCAAUUUGAAUCAUUCGUUAUAACUGCUGAAAAUGUUUCAUUAUUUGGGUACAAGUUCAGUCGUCAUUUGAGAAAAGCUUUUCCUUCUCAACUUUAAAUAAUUUCUAAAAACUUGUAGGGAAUCUGAUGUCAUUGUUUCAGAGAAAAAUGGAAUUGAGGAUUGAUCAAAUGAGUGGUUAGCUUUUGAUCUUGUUUAAUUAUGACAAAUCGGUUAUGCGUUUGAGAGUAAGCAUGGCCACAGUCUGAUUCUAGGUCGGUAAAACUGGACUGAUGGAUUCUGAUUCCCAAUGGUACCGGUUCAUUGUCGGUCCAAGCUGGGUGUUCAGGGUUUAGUCCAGUUUGUUUCCAGUUUAGGGUAUGGUUUGGUUCCAAGCUGACCGAAAUUAUUUCUUAAAAUGCAUAGAUGAAAUUAAAAAAAAUAAAAUCAAAGGACAUAUAUUAUUAAUUAUAGGAAUUUUUUUACAUGUAUGAUUUAAUUACAAAGAUAGCAAAAAGACAUAUAUUUGCAAAUAAAAGGGAAAAAAAUUACGUGGUGUUUUUUACAUGUAGGAACUUUAAAUGGAAAUAUUGGAAAAUUUUUUAAAAUUUAAUUGGGCUUGAUCUUAAUUUUUGAUAAUUAAAAUACCCAAGUAUCCUCUUGGAAGUAAAUGAAUCAAAACCCUCCUAGUUUUAUCACAUUCAUAAGAAUCUCUAAUUUACCUUAAUCUUUAUUUCAUCCCUGUUAUAUCUUGACUUGUAAAGUCAUCAUCGAUAAUUGCAAUUUAUUUUGAGGAAAAAAAGGUUUAAAAUUGACAGAAUGGCAAAUUCGUAAAUUUGUCAAAAAUAUAAAGCAACAACAGUCAUGGGUGUGGAAGGCUGGAAGGCCUCUUCCGAGUGUUCCAUGUGGCAUAUGCAGGUAAGGCCACCUUUUAAAAAAAAAAAAAUCUUGGUGUUAUUAUUGUUGUAUGUUGUGCUGGAUAUAUAUUGUAGGAAAGAGAGUUGAUAAGAUUGA